rnacentral:rRNA from 1 species
GACGUAGGGCGCGAGCGUUGUCCGGAUUUAUUGGGCGUAAAGAGCUCGUAGGCGGCUUGUUGCGUCAGCUGUGAAAACCCGCAGCUCAACUGUGGGCUUGCAGCUGAUACGGGCAGGCUUGAGUUCGGUAGGGGAGACUGGAAUUCCUAGUGUAGCGGUGAAAUGCGCAGAUAUCAGGAGGAACACCGGUGGCGAAGGCGGAUCUCUGGGCCAUUACUGACGCUGAGGAGCGAAAGCGUGGGGAGCGAACAGG